rnacentral:lncRNA from 1 species
UCGCGCGCCCGGCUUAAGGAGGUCUGCGCCCUUAAGGUUCCCAAGAUGGAGGAGCUGUGGGCAAAGAAGCAGCCUUUCUGUUCAUGCCCAGAGCCUAAGCCCUGCCCUGAACCCACACUGGAAGUCUGUUGGGGCUUGUGUGGGCCCUGGAGUGGAUAGUCUGGCUGUGGACUGUGGAUGCAUUUAUCAGGGGAUGGUGCAAGCCAUCAUCGGAAGCAGAACGUCUGAAUGACCCGGGACCCCGAGAUU